UCCUACAAUUCUUCCAAUUUUCUUUCUACCAUUUCUUUGCAUUUUCAAAAUUUUCAAGGUGGCAAAAGAUCAUAUUAGAGGUCGUAAUUGGACCUUUAAGGAAGAUGUUGCUUUAUGCUUGGCAUCAGUUUCUAUUAGCGAAGAUAGUGCCGUUAGCACAAAUCAAAAUAAAAAGGUUUUGUGGGGUAAAUCAUUGAUAAGUUCAAUGAAAACUCCAACGCUGGCCGAAUGGAAGGUGGUGGCGUUUACGAUCAGUGGAAGGUUAUCAACAAAGCGUGCACUUUAUGGAAGAGAAGCUUGAAGAGAGCCGUGGUUGACAUGGCUAGUGGAAGGAGUGCCACAGAAGUUGGUGACAAAGCAAUGACAAUUUACAAGAUAAGAACUACACCAAAAAAAUCAAGCUUUUAAGUUGCAUCAUGCUUGGAACAUUCUCAAGGAUUGUCCGAGGUAGGGAAUUGAUGCGGACCAACAAUGGAGAAAAUUAUUUGGUAGUGAAGCUGCACAGACAAAUUAUGUCAAUAUUAGCUUUAGGUGGCGGAUAUUAGAAACAUCAUAUCGGAUAAAUUAUAUUCGACACAUCAUUUAAUUAGUGGCGGAUAUUAGAAAAAUCCUGUCGGUUAUAUCCGACAUAAAUUCCUAGCGGAUAUUUAUUGGCGGAUAUCAAAAAUAUCUUGUCGAUUA